rnacentral:rRNA from 1 species
AGAGUUUGAUCCUGGCUCAGGACGAACGCUGGCGGCGUGCCUAAUACAUGCAAGUCGAGCGGACAGAUGGGAGCUUGCUCCCUGAUGUUAGCGGCGGACGGGUGAGUAACACGUGGGUAACCUGCCUGUAAGACUGGGAUAACUCCGGGAAACCGGGGCUAAUACCGGAUGGUUGUUUGAACCGCAUGGUUCAAACAUAAAAGGUGGCUUCGGCUACCACUUACAGAUGGACCCGCGGCGCAUUAGCUAGUUGGUGAGGUAACGGCUCACCAAGGCGACGAUGCGUAGCCGACCUGAGAGGGUGAUCGGCCACACUGGGACUGAGACACGACCCAGACUCCUACGGGAGGCAGCAGUAGGGAAUCUUCCGCAAUGGACGAAAGUCUGACGGAGCAACGCCGCGUGAGUGAUGAAGGUUUUCGGAUCGUAAAGCUCUGUUGUUAGGGAAGAACAAGUACCGUUCGAAUAGGGCGGUACCUUGACGGUACCUAACCAGAAAGCCACGGCUAACUACGUGCCAGCAGCCGCGGUAAUACGUAGGUGGCAAGCGUUGUCCGGAAUUAUUGGGCGUAAAGGGCUCGCAGGCGGUUUCUUAAGUCUGAUGUGAAAGCCCCCGGCUCAACCGGGGAGGGUCAUUGGAAACUGGGGAACUUGAGUGCAGAAGAGGAGAGUGGAAUUCCACGUGUAGCGGUGAAAUGCGUAGAGAUGUGGAGGAACACCAGUGGCGAAGGCGACUCUCUGGUCUGUAACUGACGCUGAGGAGCGAAAGCGUGGGGAGCGAACAGGAUUAGAUACCCUGGUAGUCCACGCCGUAAACGAUGAGUGCUAAGUGUUAGGGGGUUUCCGCCCCUUAGUGCUGCAGCUAACGCAUUAAGCACUCCGCCUGGGGAGUACGGUCGCAAGACUGAAACUCAAAGGAAUUGACGGGGGCCCGCACAAGCGGUGGAGCAUGUGGUUUAAUUCGAAGCAACGCGAAGAACCUUACCAGGUCUUGACAUCCUCUGACAAUCCUAGAGAUAGGACGUCCCCUUCGGGGGCAGAGUGACAGGUGGUGCAUGGUUGUCGUCAGCUCGUGUCGUGAGAUGUUGGGUUAAGUCCCGCAGCGAGCGCAACCCUUGAUCUUAGUUGCCAGCAUUCAGUUGGGCACUCUAAGGUGACUGCCGGUGACAAACCGGAGGAAGGUGGGGAUGACGUCAAAUCAUCAUGCCCCUUAUGACCUGGGCUACACACGUGCUACAAUGGACAGAACAAAGGGCAGCGAAACCGCGAGGUUAAGCCAAUCCCACAAAUCUGUUCUCAGUUCGGAUCGCAGUCUGCAACUCGACUGCGUGAAGCUGGAAUCGCUAGUAAUCGCGGAUCAGCAUGCCGCGGUGAAUACGUUCCCGGGCCUUGUACACACCGCCCGUCACACCACGAGAGUUUGUAACACCCGAAGUCGGUGAGGUAACCUUUUAGGAGCCAGCCGCCGAAGGUGGGACAGAUGAUUGGGGUGAAGUCGUAACAAGGUA